GACGCUUCUUUCUUAUCGAACUUCGGUUCACCAAGAAAGAAGAGUAGCGAACGGGUGAGUAACACGUGGGUAACCUGCCCAUCAGCGGGGGAUAACACUUGGAAACAGGUGCUAAUACCGCAUAAUACUUUUUCUCUCAUGAGUGAAAGUUGAAAGGCGCUUUUGCGNCACUGAUGGAUGGACCCGCGGUGCAUUAGCUAGUUGGUAGGGUAACGGCCUACCAAGGCAACGAUGCAUAGCCGACCUGAGAGGGUGAUCGGCCACACUGGGACUGAGACACGGCCCAGACUCCUACGGGAGGCAGCAGUAGGGAAUCUUCGGCAAUGGACGAAAGUCUGACCGAGCAACGCCGCGUGAGUGAAGAAGGUUUUCGGAUCGUAAAACUCUGUUGUUAGAGAAGAACAAGGAUGAGAAGAGAAUGUUCAUCCCUUGACGGUAUCUAACCAGAAAGCCACGGCUAACUACGUGCCAGCAGCCGCGGUAAUACGUAGGUGGCAAGCGUUGUCCGGAUUUAUUGGGCGUAAAGCGAGCGCAGGCGGUUCUUUAAGUCUGAUGUGAAAGCCCCCGGCUCAACCGGGGAGGGUCAUUGGAAACUGGGGAACUUGAGUGCAGAAGAGGAGAGUGGAAUUCCAUGUGUAGCGGUGAAAUGCGUAGAUAUAUGGAGGAACACCAGUGGCGAAGGCGGCUCUCUGGUCUGUAACUGACGCUGAGGCUCGAAAGCGUGGGGAGCAAACAGGAUUANAUACCCUGGUAGUCCACGCCGNAAACGAUGAGUGCUAAGUGUUGGAGGGUUUCCGCCCUUCAGUGCUGCAGCUAACGCAUUAANCACUCCGCCUGGGGGAGUACGACCGCA
rnacentral:rRNA from 1 species